GACGAACGCUGGCGGCGUGCUUAACACAUGCAAGUCGAACGGAAAGGCCCUGCUUUUGUGGUGUGCUCGAGUGGCGAACGGGUGAGUAACACGUUAGUAACCUGCCCUUGACUUUGGGAUAACUUCAGGAAACUGUGGCUAAUACCGGAUAGGAUCUCCUGCUGCAUGGUUGGGGUUGGAAAGUUUCGGCGGUUGGGGAUGGACUCUCGGCUUAUCAUCUUGUUGGUGGGGUAGUGGCUUACCAAGGCUUUGACGGGUAGCCGGCCUGAGAGGGUGACCGGCAAAAUUGGGACUGAGAUACGGCCCAGACGGCUACGGGAGGCAGCAGGGGGGAAUAUGGCACAAGGGGCGGAAGCCUGAUGCAGAAACGCCGCGUGCGGGAUGACGGCCUUCGGGUUGUAAACCGCUUUCGCCUGUGACGAAGCGUGAGUGACGGUAAUGGGUAAAGAAGCACGGGCUAACUACGUG
rnacentral:rRNA from 1 species